CAGCAGCCGCGGGAAUCCGUAGGUGGCAAGCGUUGUCCGGAAUUAUUGGGCGUAAAGCGCGCGCAGGUGGUUUAAUAAGUCUGAUGUGAAAGCCCACGGCUCAACCGUGGAGGGUCAUUGGAAACUGUUAAACUUGAGUGCAGGAGAGAAAAGUGGAAUUCCUAGUGUAGCGGUGAAAUGCGUAGAGAUUAGGAGGAACACCAGUGGCGAAGGCGGCUUUUUGGCCUGUAACUGACACUGAGGCGCGAAAGCGUGGGGAGCAAACAGGAUUAGAGACCCCCGUAGUCCCUGUCUCUUAUAC
rnacentral:rRNA from 1 species